rnacentral:rRNA from 1 species
AUUGAACGCUGGCGGCAGGCCUAACACAUGCAAGUCGAGCGGAUGAAGGGAGCUUGCUCCUGGAUUCAGCGGCGGACGGGUGAGUAAUGCCUAGGAAUCUGCCUGGUAGUGGGGGAUAACGUCCGGAAACGGGCGCUAAUACCGCAUACGUCCUGAGGGAGAAAGUGGGGGAUCUUCGGACCUCACGCUAUCAGAUGAGCCUAGGCCGGAUUAGCUAGUUGGUGGGGUAAAGGCCUACCAAGGCGACGAUCCGUAACUGGUCUGAGAGGAUGAUCAGUCACACUGGAACUGAGACACGGUCCAGACUCCUACGGGAGGCAGCAGUGGGGAAUAUUGCACAAUGGGCGAAAGCCUGAUCCAGCCAUGCCGCGUGUGUGAAGAAGGUCUUCGGAUCGUAAAACUCUUUAAGUUGGGAGGAAGAACAGUGAGUGAAUACCUUGCUGUUUUGACGUUACCAACAGAAUAAGCACCGGCUAACUUCGUG